rnacentral:misc_RNA from 1 species
CACCUUACAACUUUAAAAUAAUUAAUAAAAUAAAACACAAAUUUUCACGGAUUUAAUUAUAUUCCCACAUCCAAGAAUUUUUACAACACUUGAAAAGGAAAUCGAAUCAAAUUGUUUCUCAUUACAGGGAAAAUAAAAUGCACAGUUGUCUCUUUGGACCAAUAAAAAGGUAGACAAAAAUUCAUCAACAACUUGGUCCAUCCCAAAGAUCUUGCCCCACACUGGGAGCUUCCCAGGACAUGGGACUAAUUUCUACCAGACAAAAAAUGAUUUUUGGGUUCUCUAAUCCAUCUAACGUCUUCGCUUCUGCCUCUGAGUUGGGAACGUGAGAGGGACAGGAAGGGUUGCCAAUAAUAACUUGUUUUCACGUACAAGCUUGCACCCCAAAUUCUCAAAAUGCACUCUUAAGUUAACAGGACUAACCUUCAGAUCUUUGGCAAUGUCUGUCGGGUCAGUCCUGAAAUCAUCAGCAUACAGAGUCAGCACUAGGACAUAACUAAUGAGAUGAUCAGUUUUCUCAAUUGGCAGCCUUCUUGAUUCUGGAGUAAAAAUCUCCACAAAUUUCUGCCGAAGAAUGCUUGGAAACCUGUGGGUCUUUGCUGAGGAUGCACCAUCCAAAGAAUGCAGAUCUUUAAACUUUAUAAGAUGAGUAAUGUAGGAGAAGAUGUGCGAAAGUGUCUUCUUCUCCACUUCAUCCUACAAAUAGAAGCACAAUACACAUGAUUAAAAUAGCAAAAAAUUGAAAGGACAUCCUGCAAUUGAUAAUGGGAAUAUUCUGUAAUCUAUGUCAAGAUCGGCCUUGAUUGAAUGAAAGAAAUUUAAAGCUAUAUCCUCCCCCUUUCUCCCCUUGAAAAGGAUGAGCAAGAGAAAGCACAUGGUAAAAUGUUAAAAGGUGGAACUAAGUAGCGCUCAUUGCACAAGGGUACUUGUACAAGUAAGGUUAUUUAUAAUGCAAUAAUUGAUUAAGGAAGGAAUACUUUGCAACUAAUACAAUGGCAACACAUUGGGAACUUGGCAUGGAAAUUAAGCAAGGGAAAACUCCACCUCCUAUUCAUGACAGUAAAAAUUUUUGAGAAUACCAAUAAAUCUUUGCAUACAUCACAAAAUUUAUGCAUUUAAAUGAUUUACUAAGAAACUUUCAUGCUAAUAAAAAGUUUUCAAAAAUUCGAAACAAAUCCAUUCCUUUGAUGUUGCAGAAGUUAUUACUUCCAAUUUGAAUAACAUAGCGCCAUAGCCCAUUUUUAUUUCAUUCAUUUCAAACUUCAAGACUGAGUAAUAAUGGUAGUUAAAAUUGCAAUUCCAUUAAGAUGUUGGCAAAAACCAUCACUGACUUGGUACACUCUUACCUGGAUUUCCUGUAAUUUAUGGAUUCUGUUGCGAACAAAACUUGGGUAAGCAUUGCUCAUUGCUCCAGCCCCUCCUUGCAAAAUCUCAUAAAUAUCUUCAAGGAAAUCCCACUCUCCUGUAAGAAUAAUCCUAUUCAAAGGAUAGGCCUCCUUAGGGGUGGUGGCAGAGGUGUUAUGAGGUGGAAUGUUUCGAGCAACAUGGGCACUAGCACUUUCAAGAGCCUCCUUGUUAACCACAACAUUAUCAAUUUUCUUGCCCAAAUCUCUCUGUGAUUCAGGAUCAUCUCCCUGCUUCAGAGCCUGUGCUUUUUUAUACUGGCUUACGGAUGCCUUUGAUCCAUAGGCAAGAUUAAGUGCCAUUAUCUUAUCUGCCUUUUUUUCUCCAGAAACCUCCUCAUUUUCCAAAACUGAAGGUUCCUUAUCAGCAGUAUCUAAUCCUCGGACUUUAGGUUGCAAUCUGAAUAUCUUAUUUCCGGCAACAGGCAUAAUCUUCAAAGUCUGAGUCUUCUUAUCAAAAACCCCAAGCGCAUAAGUGCACAACUGAGCAGCCGUAGCCUCACCUUUAUAGCUCUUGCCCACAAAAUCCAUAUCGUACGCAUUAGGAUUCACAACCAGUUCCAUCCUUUCUGAACUUUUCCAUUUAUCAUUCUUUUCAUUGGAACUUUUCUCAAUCUUGGUCCUUUGAGCAUUCCUAUAAAACCUAACAGUUGGCUGUGGAAGUGACAAGUUUUCUUCGUGAUUGGGUUCCUGCGAAUUGUUGCUGUCAUCAUAUUUACGAGGCUCAUAACCAGAAGGGAAAUAUCCCACUAUAGGCGGGGUUUUAUCAGGACGGUCAUAAAUGACUUCAAUUUUGACAUUCAUAGGUGGUUGCUCAUUGGAUUCAUCAACGUUGAGUGGCUGGUCAUUCUGGAUUGAGAUUGUCCCAUCAUCAUAGCUUCUCUCAUUGUCCCUCUUUUUCUCCUUUUUUGAUUUCUCGGUAGCUGUUUGUGGUGAUUCUUGGCUCACAAUAUCUUCAGUGUUCUCCCUCUUUCUCUUCUUUUUUGAUUUCUUAUGUGGUGAUUCUUGGCUCACAGCUUUAAUGUUGGUUAACUGUGACCCUAAUUCCGACCCCAUAGUAGAUUCCUAAUUCUCAGCAACAAAACGAGUGACUUCAACUCAAAUAAUUGUAAGGAAACUAUUUCCUCUCUCACAAUCAAGCUCAGCAACACACACACGCACAAAAAUCACUUCUUUUAAAGCACGAAAUCAAACUUAAGUGAGCUAAGUAACUGCAAAAUUACCUAAUUUUUGCGGAACGAGCCAAAAGCAAGAGGGUUCCAAAGGAAGCAAAUCGCUAUCUUUUCUUCUUCCUUUGCUUUCCUUAACUUUCUCGGCAACCUAACAGAAAAACUCUUAAUCAAGCAAAACAGAGAGGUGCAGGUGGAAAGUGUCCCUGGAUUAGGGUUUUG